GAAGUUUUCAGAGAUGAGAAUGUGCCUUCGGGAACCGUGAGACAGGUGCUGCAUGGCUGUCGUCAGCUCGUGUUGUGAAAUGUUGGGUUAAGUCCCGCAACGAGCGCAACCCUUAUCCUUUGUUGCCAGCGAUUAGGUCGGGAACUCAAAGGAGACUGCCAGUGAUAAACUGGAGGAAGGUGGGGAUGACGUCAAGUCAUCAUGGCCCUUACGACCAGGGCUACACACGUGCUACAAUGGCGCAUACAAAGAGAAGCGACCUCGCGAGAGCAAGCGGACCUCAUAAAGUGCGUCGUAGUCCGGAUUGGAGUCUGCAACUCGACUCCAUGAAGUCGGAAUCGCUAGUAAUCGUGGAUCAGAAUGCCACGGUGAAUACGUUCCCGGGCCUUGUACACACCGCCCGUCACACCAUGGGAGUGGGUUGCAAAAGAAGUAGGUAGCUUAACCUUCGGGAGGGCGCUCACCACUUUGUGAUUCAUGACUGGGGUGAAGUCGUAACAAGGUAACCGUAGGGGAACCUGCGGUUGGAUCACCUCCUUACCUGAAAGAA
rnacentral:rRNA from 1 species